GACGAACGCUGGCGGCGUGCUUAACACAUGCAAGUCGAACGGAAAGGCCCUGCUUUUGUGGGGUGCUCGAGUGGCGAACGGGUGAGUAACACGUGAGUAACCUGCCCUUGACUUUGGGAUAACUUCAGGAAACUGGGGCUAAUACCGGAUAGGAGCUCCUGCUGCAUGGUGGGGGUUGGAAAGUUUCGGCGGUUGGGGAUGGACUCGCGGCUUAUCAGCUUGUUGGUGGGGUAGUGGCUUACCAAGGCUUUGACGGGUAGCCGGCCUGAGAGGGUGACCGGCGACAUUGGGACUGAGAGACGGACCAGACUCCUACGGGAGGCAGCAGUGGGGAAUAUUGCAGAAUGGGCGGAAGCCUGAGGCAGCAACGCCGCGUGCGGGAUGACGGCCUUCGGGUUGUAAACCGCUUUCGCCUGUGACGAAGCGUGAGUGACGGUAAUGGGUAAAGAAGCACCGGCUAACUACGUG
rnacentral:rRNA from 1 species